rnacentral:lncRNA from 1 species
UAAAUGUGUGGUAAGAAGACUUCAUUGUGACGUCAAGUUCCAUGAGAUGUCACAAAUACAGGAAAGAAAAAACAUUCUCAGAAGUCCCACGAAGCAUGUAUAUCCAUUUUAUAGGGUUCGCAUAUUUUCUAGGGUUGGUGGGUGAUUAAUUAUAGUGGGUGCAACAAUCAAUCAAUCCAUUUGCAUGGGCCAGGAAGUCUAAGUCCAAGUCAGGUGGACACUUUAUUGUGGGGUCGAUGCUAAUAAUAGGGAAACAAUCUCUUUGAAUCAAAUCCAAUUUUCGUAGCAUGAAUAGGAAAUGAAUCGAGGGAGAUUUAUAAGGAGCAUGAGAGAGAUUCACUAGGGGAUUUUUGGCUUACGGGGGUCUUCCAUGAGCCCAGCCGAAGCUCAUCUCUGUCCAGCAGCUCAGGUCUUCACUUGUGUUGAACUUCAUAUCAUGCCAACCCUAACCAACGACACAAUCUGGAAUCCGGCUGAUUUCCAGUGGCUUAUUGCUUGAACAUCAUCAAGAUAAGUAACAAUCAUGCUUCAAAAGCAAAAUGUAGUGUAGGUUAUAUUCCAUAGUUUAAUAUUAAAUUAUAUGAAUAUACACUGCUGCAGAGACCAUAAGUGAGGGGCUGAAGUUGUAACUGAAGAGUAGCAUGGAAAGAGAGUUCUAGGAGGUGCAUCUAAGGAAUAGAGGCAACAGAUAAGGUGGAUGGAUGGACGGACGAUGAACGAAUGGAUGAAUUGGUGACUGAAUGGAUGGAUGAAUUCAGAGGGUCAUUUAUGAAUCCAUUGGGCUUCAAUAGCAUGACCAUGUGUGUCACCUCUCUGCCUCUUACUUGCACUCUUUUAUGUGCUCUCCACAUGUUUAAGGCAAACAUGGAAAGAAAUAUAAUUGAAAAAGAAAAAAAGAAAAAAAAGUCAAUCAAAAGAAAAGGUAGAAUGUUGACGAUUCCUAAGAUCACAACCCACAUUAUAUUACUCACUCUUACAUAAACUAAAAUAUAAACACAUGAAUAUUAAUAUUUCAAAUUCAAACAAUUAAUAUGUGUGCAAAGGUUCUUCAAAACGUGGAAAGUAUUACUUUCAUUUGAUUGUUAAUAUUUAAAACUAUUCAUUACAUGCUUUUAGGAUUUUUAUGUUAAUACUACAAUGUGCAAACUUUAUUACAGCUAACACUAUUAUAUUCUUACAUUGCUCUAACAAAGCUUAGAUAUUGAAAUUCAAACCUACAUUGUGGAUAAAGUUGUAAAUUACAUGCCACUUUACAUAUACAUUAUGUCACAAAGUGUUUUUUUCAUUUACUUUCAAUGAUAAAUUAUGAUCCUGUGCUUGGUCCCUUUUUUGCACUUUCAUUGUUAACUUGAAUGUGUUUUAAUCUUUUAUAUAUUUCUUGAGAAAUGAAAAAAAAAAUUCUUCUUUAAAUAAUUUUUUUACUACAUUAUUGGAAGAAAAUAUCACCUUUUUAUUUUUUUUCAAUUUGCUUCGGUUAUUUA